rnacentral:rRNA from 1 species
GAUGAACGCUGGCGGCGUGCCUAAUACAUGCAAGUCGAGCGAACAGACGAGGAGCUUGCUCCUCGGACGUUAGCGGCGGACGGGUGAGUAACACGUGGAUAACCUACCUAUAAGACUGGGAUAACUUCGGGAAACCGGAGCUAAUACCGGAUAAUAUAUUGAACCGCAUGGUUCAAUAGUGAAAGACGGUUUUGCUGUCACUUAUAGAUGGAUCCGCGCCGCAUUAGCUAGUUGGUAAGGUAACGGCUUACCAAGGCGACUAUGCGUAGCCGAACUGAGAGGGUGAUCGGCCACCCGGGAACUGAGACACGCUCCCGAGUCCUACGGGAGGGACCAGUAGGGAACCUUCCGCAAUGGGGGGAAGCCUUACGGAGCAACGGCGAGCGAGUUAUGAAGGUCUUCGGAUCGGAAAAACCGGUUAUUAGGGGAGAACCAAUGUGUACGUAACUGUACACGUCGUGACGGUACCUAAUCAGAAAGCCACGGCUAACUACGUG